rnacentral:rRNA from 1 species
UACGUAGGGGGCAAGCGUUGUCCGGAUUUAUUGGGCGUAAAGAGCGUGUAGGCGGCUUUACAGGUCCGUUGUGAAAACUCGAGGCUCAACCUCGAGACGCCGGUGGAAACCGUAAAGCUAGAGUCCGGAAGAGGCGAGUGGAAUUCCUGGUGUAGCGGUGAAAUGCGCAGAUAUCAGGAGGAACACCAAUUGCGAAGGCAGCUCGCUGGGACGUUACUGACGCUGAGACGCGAAAGCGUGGGGAGCAAACAGG